GUUUACCAGGAAAUCAAGAUGUGUAAACUGCAGGAAGUACUAUUUGACCCUCUCCGACAGUAUCUCAUUACAAUAAUUGCUAAUCUCUGAAUAAGACAGCCAUGUUUUGUGAGUAACUGAGAGAGAGAGAGGUUGUGUUAGGUAGAUUUUAGGUGUUUCAACAAAUAGAGCAUUGUAAAUGCUUACUUGGAUUAUGUUUUCAUGAUAGCUUUUGAUAAAAGACAUAUGCUGACCCUUGGGGUCAGCAAAGCUAGGACACAAUAGUAGGUAUUCUUUCAUGCCUUUUAACUGAAAAAUAUCACGGCUUGUUGUUUUGGAGUGCUGUCACUGCUCUGAAUCGAAAGGAUAAUGGCUACUUCCUGAUUAAAACCACUCUCCACAAUAUGGAGUCUGGAGAACGGUUACCAUCCUCAGCAGCCUCCUCUACUACACCAACUUCAUCUUCGACACCUUCUGUGGCUUCAGUAGUUUCAAAAGGUGGCCUUUCCACUGGAGUUGCUUCACUUAGCUCUACAAUCAACCCAUGUGGACAUUUAUUCAGAACAGCUGGGGAUCAACCGUUUAACCUGUCCACAGUGUCGAGUGCCUUCCCAAUGGUCAGCCACCCAGUCUUUGGUCUACAUUCAGCCAGCUCAGGGCAUUCAGAAUUUGGUGGUUUGGGGACACUUGGUACACCCACAGCCUUAGCCGCACAUCCCCAACUAGCAUCUUUUCCAGAAUGGUGGCGAACAACUGAUGCUCAUACUCGUACAGGAGCAACCUUCUUUCCACCAUUACUGGGAAUUCCACCACUAUUUGCUCCCCCAGCCCAGAAUCAUGAUUCUUCUUCAUUCCAUUCAAGGACUUCGGGAAAAAGUAAUCGAAAUGGUCCCGAAAAAGGUGUAAAUGGCUCAAUAAAUGGAAGUAAUACAUCAUCUGUAAUUGGUAUCAACACAUCUGUACUAUCCACUACUGCUUCAAGUUCCAUGGGACAAACUAAAAGUACAAGCUCAGGUGGAGGAAAUCGAAAAUGUAAUCAGGAACAAAGCAAAAACCAGCCUUUGGAUGCUAGGGUUGACAAAAUCAAAGAUAAGAAACCAAGGAAGAAAGCAAUGGAAAGUUCUAGCAACAGUGAUAGUGAUUCAGGCACAUCAUCAGACACCUCAAGUGAAGGCAUUAGUAGUAGUGAUUCAGAUGAUCUAGAAGAAGAUGAAGAAGAAGAAGAUCAAAGUAUUGAAGAAAGUGAAGAUGAUGAUUCUGAUUCAGAGAGUGAAGCACAACAUAAAAGUAACAACCAGGUGCUAUUACAUGGUAUUUCAGACCCAAAAGCAGAUGGACAGAAAGCAACUGAAAAAGCCCAGGAAAAAAGAAUACACCAGCCAUUACCUCUUGCGUCUGAAUCCCAGACUCACUCAUUCCAAUCCCAGCAGAAGCAGCCUCAGGUUUUGUCACAGCAGCUUCCAUUUAUUUUCCAAAGCUCUCAGGCAAAGGAGGAAUCUGUGAACAAACACACCAGUGUAAUACAGUCUACGGGAUUGGUGUCCAAUGUGAAACCUUUAUCUUUGGUAAAUCAAGCCAAAAAGGAAACUUACAUGAAACUCAUAGUUCCUUCUCCUGAUGUUCUUAAAGCAGGGAAUAAAAAUACCUCUGAAGAAUCUAGUUCAUUGACCAGUGAAUCGAGAUCCAAACGG
rnacentral:sRNA from 1 species